CCAUCUCAUCAGUGUCACAGUGAAGCCUGUUUCUGCUCUUCCCGAGGGACUGCCAUCUUUCUGGCUGUCUCGUGGGGGCUGCAUAACACAGUGCUGUUAAUACGGAGGGCCUUCUGCAAGGGGUUUGGCCUUAGGACAGGUCUAUGAUUUGCAUAGCUUUCACUGUUUCAUUUUCAAGGAGUUUAAGAGUCAAAGAACCAUAAGUUCCUCUAGUCUGGUCUUCCUGUACAUUGUGGGGCAAGGCAAUUGUGUCAGAUUUCAAGGCUGAAUUUGUCUAACAUCAAAUUGCAAAGACUGCUUUGCUGUGCUUUUGUCAACAAUGAUGAAAUGCCCUCCCUUGCCAGGUAUGAUUUCCAAGUGAAAGUACCUGGAAGUGAUCAAGUAUCCUCUCAGACCCUUUCUCCAAAAAACUGGGUUCUGAUUAACUUACUGUAAUGUAUAAAGAGAGAGAAAGACAGAAGCUCAUCAGUGAUGCUCAGUAUGCAAGGGAAAUACAGCACAAGAUGGAUUCAGAGUAUCAGGCAUGCCUAAGACAACAGGAGCAGAA